rnacentral:piRNA from 1 species
UUCCUUUAUGAAGGUACUUACCUGUGGAC